rnacentral:rRNA from 1 species
CUAUGGCCAAACCAACUUGAACAUGUCCAAUCUCGUCUAAUCUCAGAAGCUAAGCAAGGUCAGGCCUGGUUAGUACUUAGAUGGGACAAAGUUAUACGUGGGACUGUUUUGC